CAAAAAAUAGUUUAUUGAAAAUUUUAAUUUUGGAGAUUAGAGAUAUAAAAAAUUUAUUUUUUUGA
rnacentral:tRNA from 1 species